AUCUCUAGCUGUUUGCUGCAUUUUAUUGCAGUAGUUACAGCCAAAUACAUGCUACAGUAACUUCACAACCGAUUAAAUGCACAUCGGAAGCAAAACCUUAUUAUAAAUACAUUUGUUAACGUUUAAAGUCAAUCCGUUGAGGCUUUUUUUUAAAAGUAAGUUAAGUUAUAAACCGUUUCUCAUUUGCUGCACAGUCACAGAAAGGCUACAACAUCAGCAUCUGUCUGAGGUCCACAAAGAGGAAAUGACUGACAUCUGCAAAGGUCAGAAGGGUGGCGCUUCCUUCAUAAGGAUGGCCUUUACUCAACUGUCCAGGCUCUAUUACUCAAAGGAGCUGGGAAGUGCAAAGGUGGAAUCUUUGCUGUCACAGCGGGGACCGGUGCCACAUUAACCUGUGGAAACUUUGCUGUCACAGUGAAACAGAAGAAUCCUUCUUGAAAACAUCAUGGUGACUUGACGGCUCGAGUGCCAUGAUGGAGGGAGGGGGUUCCAGCUGAAGGCUGUUGGUGUCUCUUGGGUCAACAUGGCCAUCCUUGCAAAGAUGCUGGUGUUUGUCCAGCAGGGGCUGCCUCUCGGGUCGUGAUGUGGACACGGUGUCGUCUCGACAAGGUUCCUGGUUCUGAGAAUGGUGAUUGAAGCUUCUCUGGACAUUUGGACUGAGUUGCAGGCAAAUGAGUUGCCGGUUCUGAGUGGUGAUUGAAACUUCUUUGGACACCUGGACUGUGAUACAGGAACCUAUCACCACUUGGCUUCGCUGGGCUGUUGGGAUUGGUCUUCUGGUAAUGACCACGUCAAUCAGAAGAUGUAUUUCUCAGCUGGUGUUUCACCUUCUGUGGACCCGGUCUGGCACUUAGAACCUCAUGUGAGGGGAACAGCUGUGCUGAUGGAGAAGGAAGUCUUGCCAAGUGUCUGAACUGUUUAUCACUUUUUUGUGUAUAUCCAAAAUUUUUUAUUUUUUUUUGGACAGAAUGUUUUUGCCUUAAUGUUUAAAGGUAUGAAGACAUAGUUUUCAGUUAUAAUUGCAUAAAUUGUCUAUUUCAAAUAAAAAUGCUCA